GAUGAACGCUGGCGGCGUGCCUAAUACAUGCAAGUCGAGCGAACAGACGAGGAGCUUGCUCCUCUGACGUUAGCGGCGGACGGGUGAGUAAAACGUGGAUAACCUACCUAUAAGACUGGGAUAAAUUCGGGAAACCGGGGCUAAUACCGGAUAAUAUAUUGAACCGCAUGGUUCAAUAGUGAAAGACGGUUUUGCUGUCACUUAUAGAUGGAUCCGCGCCGCAUUAGCUAGUUGGUAAGGUAACGGCUUACCAAGGCAAUGAUGCGUAGCCGACCUGAGAGGGUGAUCGGCCACACUGGAACUGAGACACGGUCCAGACUCCUACGGGAGGCAGCAGUAGGGAAUCUUCCGCAAUGGGCGAAAGCCUGACGGAGCAACGCCGCGUGAGUGAUGAAGGUCUUCGGAUCGUAAAACUCUGUUAUUAGGGAAGAACAAAUGUGUAAGUAACUAUGCACGUCUUGACGGUACCUAAUCAGAAAGCCACGGCUAACUACGUG
rnacentral:rRNA from 1 species